UACAGAGGGUGCAAGCGUUAAUCGGAAUUACUGGGCGUAAAGCGUGCGCAGACGGUUGCGUACGUCAGAUGUGAAAGCCCCGGGCUCAACCUGGGAAUUGCAUUUGAGACUGCGUAGCUAGGGUGCGGAAGAGGGAAGCGGAAUUUCCGGUGUAGCGGUGAAAUGCGUAGAUAUCGGAAGGAACACCAGUGGCGAAAGCGGCUUCCUGGUCCAGCACCGACGUUCAGGCACGAAAGCGUGGGGAGCAAACAGG
rnacentral:rRNA from 1 species